rnacentral:snoRNA from 1 species
AUGCAUAUGAUGAAUUUUACUCGGAUUCCCCUUCAAGACUUAAUGGGUGAUGAAACUCGAGUAGUUUCUGAAGCA